GUGGGCCGCCUCGCCCCACAUUGUGUCUUAGUCAUCCCUGUGUCCCCAGAACCUGAACAGGCACAAAGUAGGCCUUCAGCAACAUGUGCUCAAAGAAGGGAGUCAGUGUCCGUGUUUAACAAGGCAGGAUGUCACAUCAGGGGAGGAGGGUGAUGGGGCUGGUGCCACGCAGGAUUUGCAUGGAGAGGAAAUGCAGGUGUGUGCUGUGCUACGCCCCCUCCAGGGGUACCGCACCUGGACCCCGCUUCCAGCUCUGGCUGGGGCAGAAGCCCUGGUGGAAGUUCAAGUUCCUCUUCCCACUCUGCUUCCUGGAGCCCCGGGAUUCUCCCACCUCCUCUCCUUCCUCACUCAAGGGCUCCAGGGACAAGUGCUGAAGCAAGAUGGCCAGGUGGAGGCCACUGCAGUAGAGCAGGUGGGCCAAGAUGGGGGCCUGGGCCAGCAGAGGAGGGUGAGAGUGUCAGGAACCGUGCCAGGCUUCCUCAGCCUGGGCAAGAAGCUGCCUUUACCAGGAUGUGGAGCCCGGGGAACCAGUGGCAAGUGAAGAGCGUCGGUCUGAAGUUCAGGUUCAGACACUUGGGCAUCUCUACCAGACCCCCGAGUGGACCUCUGCCCUGGGCCUCAGCCACUGACUCGUGCGACCUCCAAACAAGGCGCCUUCUUUAUCAGCUCCCCCUUUCCCCAGCAGGAUGGGGCUCUGGAGGCCUGUGACUGUUGGAACUGAGUCUGUGGUUUUUAUCUAAAACAAACACAGGUCCUGCCCUGAUGGCGAAGUGGGGGCCCCACACGUCCCUGGCCAGGCAGUCCUGCUGCAGCCAGGGAGACCAUGGAAUUCCCCGCCCCCCCCCCCCCCCGCAGCCCGCCUGGGUCACCGCUCUGCCCCCCUGGGUCACCGCUCUGCCUGCCUGGGCUCGUGCAGGCUCCUGAGGAGUGAUGUGGGAAAGGGCGUUCCAAUAAAAACUCCCAGAGGAAGAAGUGGCCCGAUUAAAUGGGAUGCUGUCUUUCCUCUCCGGGACUUUGGGGAA